GAUAAACGCUGGCGGCGUGCAUAACACAUGCAAGUCGAACGAAGUGGCGAACGGGUGAGUAACACGUGAGUAACCUGCCUUAAACAAGGGGAUAGCCUUUGGAAACGAAGAAUAAUACACUAUAGUGUAAGAUGUACUUUAGUCUGAUUGGCUAGGUGGUGAGAUAAAAGCCCACCAAGGCGACGAGCAGUAGCGUGCUUUAGAGAGUGUACGGGCACAUUGGGACUGAGACACGGCCCAAACUCUACGGGAGGCAGCAGUGGGGAAUGUUGCACAAUGGGUGAAACCCUGAUGCAGCUACGCCGCGUGAUUUAGAAGGCCUUCGGGUUGUAAAAAUCUUUUUUAUGGGAUGCAGUACCAUAAGAAUAAGGUCCGGCUAAAUACGUGCCAGCAGCCGCGGUAAUUC
rnacentral:rRNA from 1 species